GAUAAUGUAUGAGCAUAGAGUCUAGGCUCAAACCAAACAGCAAUCUAUAAAGAGCCCCAAUAAUGUAUGAGCACAGAGUCUAGGCUCAAACCAAACAACAAUCUAUAAAGGGCCCCAAUAAUGUAUGAGCACAGAGUCUAGGCUCAAACCAAACAACAAUCUAUAAAGGGCCCCGAUAAUGUAUGAGCACAGAGUCUAGGCUAAACCAAACAACAAUCUAUAAAGGGCCCCAAUAAUGUAUGAGCACAGAGUCUAGGCUCAAACUAAACAGCAAUCUAUAAAAGGCCCCAAUAAUGUAUGAGCACAGAGUCUAGGCUCAUACCAAACAGUAAUCUAUAAAGGGCCCCAAUAAUGUAUGAGCACAGAGUCUAGGCUCAUACCAAACAGUAAUCUAUAAAGGGCCCCAAUAAUGUAUGAGCACAGAGUCUAGGCUCACACCAAACAGCAAUCUAUAAAGGGCCCCAAACAUGACUUGUGUAAAACCAUUAAAAAACAGAAAGAUCAACGGUCUAAUUUAGGGCUAUUCCAGAAAAAAAUGUAUGGGGGGGUUGGAAGGCAGUUUUUGUCAGCACCCGCCACCCAGACAAUUGUAAUUGAGAAUUAUAGUGCAUUAUAGUGUGAAAAGUUGCUCUGAUACCCAUCACCAAUGUAUUUUUAAUACAAUGUGUCUUCCCCCCCCCUCCCCCCCCCCAUACAUUUUUUUCUUGAAUAGCCCUUAUAUAAAAAAGGAGAAACACUUACCAGUAUGAACCACAUUAACAAUUGACAACCACAGAACAUCUAUUAAUAAAAAUGAGACCUGGUUCAAACUUUAUCAUCCAUAUUUCCGGAAACUCGAGGGCUUAAAGCCUCCAUGUUAAACUUAUGGUUAAUAUUUCAGGAAACGCGAGGGCAUAUAGCCUCCAUGUUAAUCUUUUUGAUCAAUAUUUCAG
rnacentral:lncRNA from 1 species